rnacentral:misc_RNA from 1 species
UCCGAGUUGACCCCGGCAGUCUCCUGCGAGUCCCCGCCAUUACGCGCUGGCAACACAGGACAAGGGUUGCGCUCGUUGCGGGACUUAACCCAACAUCUCACGACACGAGCUGACGACAACCAUGCACCACCUGUCACUCUGUCCCCCGAAGGGGAAAGCUCUAUCUCUAGAGUGGUCAGAGGAUGUCAAGACCUGGUAAGGUUCUUCGCGUUGCUUCGAAUUAAACCACAUGCUCCACUGCUUGUGCGGGCCCCCGUCAAUUCCUUUGAGUUUCAACCUUGCGGUCGUACUCCCCAGGCGGAGUGCUUAAUGUGUUAACUUCAGCACUGAGGGUGGAACCCCCCAACACCUAGCACUCAUCGUUUACGGCGUGGACUAC